GGGGAAUAUUGGACAAUGGGCGGAAGCCUGAUCCAGCAACGCCGCGUGAGGGAUGACGGCCUUCGGGUUGUAAACCUCUUUCACCAUUGACGAAGCUGCAUCUUUUUGGGUGUGGUGACGGUAGGUGGGGAAGAAGCACCGGCCAACUACGUGCCACCAGCCGCGGUAAUACGUAGGGUGCGAGCGUUGUCCGGAAUUAUUGGGCGUAAAGGGCUCGUAGGCGGUUUGUCGCGUCGGGAGUGAAAACCUCGGGCUUAACUCGGGGCUUGCUUUCGAUACGGGCAGACUAGAGGUAUGCAGGGGAGAACGGAAUUCCUGGUGUAGCGGUGAAAUGCGCAGAUAUCAGGAGGAACACCGGUGGCGAAGGCGGUUCUCUGGGCAUGAUCUGACGCUGAGGAGCGAAAGUGUGGGGAGCGAAC
rnacentral:rRNA from 1 species